rnacentral:rRNA from 1 species
AGGGAAUCUUCCGCAAUGGACGAAAGUCUGACGGAGCAACGCCGCGUGAGUGAUGAAGGUUUUCGGAUCGUAAAGCUCUGUUGCCAGGGAAGAACGUCUUCUGGAGUAACUGCCAGGAGAGUGACGGUACCUGAGAAGAAAGCCCCGGCUAACUACGUGCCAGCAGCCGCGGUAAUACGUAGGGGGCAAGCGUUGUCCGGAAUUAUUGGGCGUAAAGCGCGCGCAGGCGGCUGUUUAAGUCUGGUGUAUAAUCCUGGGGCUCAACUCCGGGUCGCACUGGAAACUGGACGGCUUGAGUGCAGAAGAGGAGAGUGGAAUUCCACGUGUAGCGGUGAAAUGCGUAGAGAUGUGGAGGAACACCAGUGGCGAAGGCGGCUUUCUGGACUGUAACUGACGCUGAGGCAUGAAAGCGUGGGGAGCAAAC